rnacentral:rRNA from 1 species
AUUGAACGCUGGCGGCAGGCUUAACACAUGCAAGUCGAGCGGGGUGAUGGUGCUUGCACUAUCACUUAGCGGCGGACGGGUGAGUAAUGCUUAGGAAUCUGCCUAUUAGUGGGGGACAACAUCUCGAAAGGGAUGCUAAUACCGCAUACGUCCUACGGGAGAAAGCAGGGGAUCACUUGUGACCUUGCGCUAAUAGAUGAGCCUAAGUCGGAUUAGCUAGUUGGUGGGGUAAAGGCCUACCAAGGCGACGAUCUGUAGCGGGUCUGAGAGGAUGAUCCGCCACACUGGGACUGAGACACGGCCCAGACUCCUACGGGAGGCAGCAGUGGGGAAUAUUGGACAAUGGGGGGAACCCUGAUCCAGCCAUGCCGCGUGUGUGAAGAAGGCCUUAUGGUUGUAAAGGACUUUUGUCCGGGAGCAAAUGCCUGGUGUUAAUAGCACUGGGAGCUGAGAGUACCGGAAGAAUAAGCACCGGCUAACUACGUGCCAGCCGCCGCCGUAAUAC